AAAAAAAAAAUUAUUUAGCUUCCCUGAAGAUUUUGGCGAGCUUUUGAAAGUGAACAAUCGAUCAGCUGAUUGUGGGAAAAAAAUUGGCGCCAAAUUACUUGUUUACAUUUUUACGAGUGGCGAUCGAGUAAAUUUGCUCAAAUAAAUUCGGCUAAAAAUGGAAAAUGAAGAUACAGGAAAGUUCGAGUUUUUGCAUAGCGAUCUCAUCGAUAUUUGGCGCAACAACAAUCGACAAAAAAAAUCUGUCUCACAUUGGAUUUACAGUAAAAUCAAUAACAACCAUUUGGAAAAUGAAAAAAAAAGAGAAAUAGAUAAAAAAAAUCAGUAAUUUUGAAUCCUUCAUUAAAAGAAACCUUCUGAAGUGCAACAAAAUGAUGGAACGGUUUAUGACCACCCAUGCUAAAUGGAUGGCUUCUAAAAUAACAAUUACUGUUGAUGAAAAUUGUAAGACACCAAAGAAAACGGGACGUCCAACAUUACAUUAUACAAAUGCAGGGACAAGAUUAAAAAGGAAACUGGCGUCUGAUCUUGCAAAUGAUAAUAAUAAUAACACGAAUCUUCUUAUGCAUGCUGCGGCAGUUUCUGCUAAGAAAGAACGCAAGACCGACGUGGCUUUUGUCCUAACAAAAAUAAUUAGAGCACCUGAAUACCCGACUGAAUCGAAAAAGCAUCUUCAAUUGCAAAAGCCCAUUCCACUUUCACCAGAUGAAGCUUUAGCUUACCUCCUGGAAAAUUCACUCAACUAACAGCAGUAUACAAACACUAGGCUUUUAAAUAAAAGGCAUAUAUGCGACAUUUAUCCUAGCUAUAAUAAAGUAAUGGAAGCUAAAUUACAGUGCCGACCAGAGUGCAUAGAAGUAAUGGAAACUACUGCUCGAGUGCCAUUACAAAAUCUUUUGGAUCAUACAGCACAUCGAAUAAUUAAAUUGCAGUCCGAUGUUUUCAAGCAGUUCCCGGAUGCAUCUGAAAUCAAAUUAAUCUGCAGCUACGGAUUUGAUGGCUCAACGGGUCAUAGUAUAUACAAGCAGAAGUUUUUAACUGAAAUACCUGGCAGUCAGCUUUCCGAUCAUUCUUUAUUUGUAACUUCUGUUAUACCCAUACAAAUUACAGACACCUAUCAUCGGAACAUCUGGACAAAUAGAGCACCGCAGUCUAUUAGAUUUUGCAGACCGCUAAAAAUUGAUCUAGUAAAAGAAACUACUGCGCACAUAAUUAUAGAAAAAAAAGAUUUAGAUUUUCAAAUUAACACUCUUAAACCCUUUGUUUAUAAAUUAGUUGAGAAUGUUGACAGAGUAGUUACCUAUGAAAUGCAUAUGACACUUAUAGAUGGAAAAGUGCUGAACGUAUUAACUGGAACUAAAUCUACUCAAUGUUGUCCAAUAUGUGGGGUCACCCCGACAAAAGUAUUGGAAAUUACAGAUUUUAGUUCAGAAACCUUUACCCCAAAGCUUGGAGCAAACAUAUCCGUGGUACCCAAUGUCCCCUACGAUUCAUAAAGUAUUAGUCCACGGUUUUCAAAUAAACAAUUCGACGUUGGUUCCACUUGGAUGUUUAGGAGAAAAUGCUUCAGAGGCACGGAAUAAAAUGUACAAAAAAGACAGAUUAUCACAUGCAAGAAAAAAUAGUCGGGUAAAUACUAUGACUGACAUUUUUUAUAGAGCGAUAGAUUCCUCGGAUCCAUUACUAUCGAGUGUCUGUUUAAAGGAGAGGGAAAGGAAAAAUAAGAAAAAGCCUCUUUCCAAAGAAGUAUUAAGCCUUCUGGAGUUGCCGUCUACCGAAAGCAAAGAUUCAUGUGAAUACGAAAAUGACUCGCAAUCUGAUUCUGAUUCUGAUUAUAAUAUAUACGACAUAGAACUAGAAGAAGAAGAUGAGGUCAUUUAAGAAAAAAAUUAGUGUGUACUAAAUUUCCAUAGUUUAUAUAUAAAAAUAGAUAAUUUGAAAUAAGAUAUUAUAUAUAAUGAUUUAACAACAAAAUGUAAUAAAUUUGAAGUAUGUAAUUUAAA